CGCCCGUCGCUCCUACCGAUUGGGUGUGCUGGUGAAGUCUUCGGAUUGGCGACCUGGGGCGGUCUCCGCUCUCGGCCGCCGAAAAGUUCAUUAAACCCUCCCACCUAGAGGAAGGAGAAGUCGUAACAAGGUUUCC
rnacentral:rRNA from 1 species